UGGAGACAAAUCACAUAUGAAUGCAAUUAUCUUAAAUUGAGAACAAAUGGAGGCUUUACUGAAGCUUUUAAGAUGUUUCUCUUAAGAAAAAGACUCUUAUUUAGCUUCAAAAGAGAUCAAACUGCUGACAUUUGGCAAGUUUUCAGUCAAAUCCUAAUAUGAACUUGUUUGGAAAGUUUCAAAUCAAAUGAUUAUUUUUAUAGUUCUGUACUCCUCUAUGUUCGAAUUAUUUUUGCUUAUUCUUCCCAAAGUUUUUUUUUUUUUUUUUUUCUCAGAUGGACGUUGAGAUGUGAUUGAGAUCUCCAUCAAGUGGAUCGAAGUACAAAAGAGCAUUUUAUGAGCAGUAAACCCUUCAUUAUUUAUCUCAGAAUAUUUGUUCAAGUUGUUCCUGAAUUAAUAGAAGUUUAUUGAGUGUAUUUAUAUAUCUUAAACACACUCUAAAAUGAUCAUGUUUCUUUAAAUCCUCCAUUUUGCUGAUCAUUUGAGACGUCUUUAGCCCGUGGCGGAGCUGAAACUGUGUCUCUCUCAUUGAUAUACGGCACCAGAGCCGAAGCUUUGUUGAGUCGGGUAUUUCCAGAUGGCUCACAAAAGACUCAAUUGACUCGCUCCUCUAAUGUGUUAAAGCGUUUGCUCCCACAUGACAAAUUCGGAGGGGAAAAAACCCUGCCUCUCGGCAUGUAAAAGAAAAAAAAAGUAAAAGAUGAAAUAUCAAACAGAUUUUCUCUUUCACUGUCGAUUUUUGAGCAUUUAGAUUCUCACCCAGCAGUACGUGACAUUUAUAUAAAUCAGUCAUGCCAGGGCCUUGUUGCGUUCGUACUCGGACCUUAUCGGAGUGCCUGUGUAUAAAUAAAGUUUGUCUCUUACAGAUACACUUACAUCACGUCUCACUGUCUUAUGCAAUGGAGUCUGGAGCUUCGCCAGCAUGCAGUGAACCAGAGAAAGCGGAGAGACGUCCCAGCGGCCCACAGCCCUGACAACACCCUUCUAUCCCCCUCUGAAAUCUUUAUUUACUGCCCCCGCACUCCUACUCCCUCGCCGGGGCAAUUAAAGCACCGCUGUGUCAGACGGGGAAAGACUGAAAUGGAAAGGGAUACCUUGAAUGCAAUAUGACUCUUGGAAUCAGACAGCGGUUAAAGUUUCGCGCUGAAGACGUGCAGACGUGAUCGCCAGAAUGUCGCACCUGAUUCCUGAGCCCAGAGGAGAGUUUUAGCACUCAGAUGUUGCUCUUUUAAGGCUCCAGAGACUCCAAGGCGUCAUGAAAUUUACAUUAUUUACUUUUGCAAGGCAUGUCUGUGGUCUCAUCGUGCAUGAUUCAUCAGCACACGCUGUUUGAAAGGACAAAGAGGAUUUGAAUCUGAGGUCGUUUGUGAUUUUUCUUUAUUUGCAACAAAGCCCUUCCAAACUCCGUUGCUCACAGGUUGCUCGUUCACAGCUCAAAAACUUAAUGGAGAUCCUAGUUAUGCUUCGUGCAGGUUGCUCAUUCACAUCUCAAAAGACAUUUCUUGUCAUGGUUCAUAAAAGCCCUUCUGAACUGAAUGGCUCACAGGUUGCUCAUUCACAUCUCAAAAGACCGGAUGGAGAUCCUAGUUAUGUUUCAUGUACUCAGGUAACGUCAGUUUGUCGGUGUCUGUCAGUAAGAACUCGACUCUGCUGGUUGACUGGAACAGCGGGAGCAAACAGACAACCCAAUGUGCUCUGCUCGUCUCAACCGAAGGAAGACAGGAGAUCCAGAUACACCUUUUACCAUGGUCUGGAUCGCUCCAGCUGGAAAAUAUGACAGACAAUGGCAAACACUACUUCUUAUGCACUUGUUUUGAACAAUCGCAGGGACUCUUGUGCUCCAAGAACAUAAGUUUUGUUAUGGGCCCUGUCUCUGCACCGCCUCUGGUCCUGAUGUCAGAUACUCAGAGCUCUGCCAGUUACAUCAGCAUGAGAUGGUUGAGCAGCGGUGUGUUUGGAACGACUUUAGCAACAUUUGUCAUUAUUCUAGUCUACAUUAUAUACAGAAGAUGGACGGGGAAUGGUGUCUUCCAACUGCGUCUGAGAUAAAUAGAGACUCGCCUGGGAAUUUAAAGCAAUAGUUACCCCAAAUAUUAAAAUGUUCUGAAAAUGUAUUGACCCUCAGGCCAUCCAAGAUGUAAAAGAGUUUGUUUAUGGGAACAGAUUUGGAGAAAUUUAGCAUUGCAUCACUUGCUCACCAAUGGAUCCUCUGUAGUGAAUGGGUGCCGUCAGAAUGAGAGUCCAAACAGCUGAUAAAAACAUCAUAAUAAUCUACAAGUAACCCACACCACUCGAGUCCAUCAGAUAAUGUACAGUGAAGUGAAAAGCUGUGUGUUUAUAAGAAAUCCAUCGUUAAUACGUUUUUAACUUCAAACGGUUGCUUCCAGCUAAACUAUAACUCCAUACAAAACACUUCCUCCAGUGAAACAGUGAAUUUGAGAUGAAAAAAUCAAAAAUCAAAAUCCACCCACGUUUGUUUUGAACUGUUUUCGCUAAAUCUAUGCAUAUUUCUCUUCUGAUUCAGAUCAGAUGAAUUUAUCACUGGAGAAGUUAAAGUCUUAAAGGUCCCGUUUUUCAUGCUUUUUUGAAGCUUUGAUUGUGUUUACACUGUGCAAUAUAACAUGUGUUCAUGUUUCGCGUGUAAAAAAACAAAGAUGAUUGGACUCCGAGAUGAAAAUAACAGCGUUUCAACGACGUGUCGAACACAAACGCAGCUCUUCCUUCUUCUCCGUCGGAGCGCAACAAGACCACGCAAUUGUGAAUUCAUGUGUGCGAAGGUUAGUCAAAAAACUGUUUUAGUGACGUCAUUACUGCAGGACCUAGAGGGAUGUAGUCCAAACGGGUCGUUUUUUGUAGGCGAAUUCUGUUCAUUCAAAUAUCUCGCUUGGCAUUGAACUUUGAGCUUUAGAAUUUUACAGAUAUUAUUUAUACUCUAACAACAACAUUACACACUAACUAAAGUUUAAAACAUGGGAUCACGAAGAAGGGGACCUUUAAUAAUGAGGUGGAAUGCUACAUUUCUCCAAAUCUGUUUUAUGAUGAAAAAACAAACUCAUCUACAUCUUGGAUGACCUGAGGAUGAGUACAUUUUCAGCUAAUAUUUAUUUUUGGCUGAGCUAUUCCUUUACUUGUUUACAGAAGAGACAUGUGUACUAUCACUGACAUUCAUUUCAAGUAUAUUAAUAUUUGUAUGAACUAAACCGCAGUGGACCUUGAACUGGGUGGACGUCAUAUUUAAUGUGAUGUGAAUGAAACGAUGACAGAAAUACAGUUGUGUGUGUUGAUCAUUUAUCCAGCGAAAAGUCUUUCAAAUUAUUUCCAGUUUACAAAAAAACUAUGUAAAACGUGAGUUGUGAAAAUAUGACUGUUACUUCAGAUAAUGUGAAAAACAUCUGUUUUCAUUCACAUCAGAUUAAAAACAUUGGUAACAUUUUACAAUAAGGUCCCAUUAAAUAAUGUUAGUUAAUGCAUUCAUUAACAUGAACUAAAAUAUUGAAAUUAACCAAGAUUAAUAAAUGCUUUAGUGGUAUUUUUUAUGCAGAAUUUUUUUUUUUUUUUUUGAUUUUUGCGACUCAUGUAUGAUUCAGCCUGUAGCUUUCUUUAGUUUUCUGGUCAAAUUCAGAAGAUCUACAUUUCUGAUUAAAACUUUAUACUGUUCCUAAGAAACACAAUAAAGAUUUUGAUAUUG